rnacentral:rRNA from 1 species
GAUGAACGCUGGCGGCGUGCCUAAUACAUGCAAGUCGAGCGAACAGACGAGGAGCUUGCUCCUCUGACGUUAGCGGCGGACGGGUGAGUAACACGUGUAUAACCUACCUAUAAGACUGGGAUAACUUCGGGAAACCGGAGCUAAUACCGGAUAAUAUAUUGAACCGCAUUGUUCAAUAGUGAAAGUCGGUUUUUCUGUCACUUAUAGAUGGAUCCGCGCCGCAUUAGCUAGUUGGUAAGGUAACGGCUUACCAAGGCAACGAUGCGUAGCCGACGUGAGAGGGUGAUAGGCCACACUAGAAGUGAGACACGGUCCAGAAUCCUACGGGAGGCAGCAGACGGGAAUCUUACGCAAUGGGCGAAAGUAUGACGGAGCAACGCGGCGUGAGUGAUGAAGGUCUUCGGAUCGUAAAACUCUGUUAUUAGGGAAGAACAAAUGUGUAAGUAAAUAUGCACGUCUUGACGGUACCUAAUCAGAAAGCCACGGCUAACUACGUG